rnacentral:lncRNA from 1 species
UUAAUAGUGUCCAGCAUGGCCCAUGCCAUGCACCUUCUCCCCUGUAUUCUCCACUCCUGCAGACUGUAGGCAAACUGCUAGUCUUUAAUGGAACCACCGCAUACGUGCUGUUACUCAACCAGAAAAAGUUUGGAUCCCGAGAAAGCAAAUAAACAUUUCAAGCAUUUUGGGGAUCUACCAAGUCUUUCAUCAAACCUAACUUUAUAUCCUUUAUAUAAAGUAUCAAGACAAAACAAAAACAUCGAGAAGCCUGGUAUUAGAGCUAGCAGCAAUGAUGGUGAACUAGUCCCACGUGACCACAAGGACACCUCUCAGAAGCACAGUGGUGAACAAGGCAAGCCAAACAAUUACCUGUAUGGAGACAGAACAGUGGUGGGAAGGGUUUGUGGAUGUGAAUGACUGGAAGUUCUCUAUUUCUAGACCUAGCUGACUGCUAGACAGAUGUCCACAUUAAAACAGUUCAAGUCUGUUGU